ACCCCGGAUGCUCCUUGCCACGGUGCCACUGCCCAGCUGGCACCGGGGCCGCUGUUUGUUUCCAACCGUCGCUCCCAGCCCUGUCCUCGGUCCUCAGCCUCCUCCUCCAGAUCGUCUCCCUAGGCCCCGCCCGGCUCCCCCGGCUGCUCUACCUUUAUAAAGCACGACUGGGCACCCCAGAACCCCAGCCUCUGAGCCUCUCGCUCUUGAACUUCGUGGCUUGAUCCUACUUCUCUCCCACUCCGCUACCACUACCGCCACCAUGAAGGUCUUCGCUGUCUUCAUCUUGGUUGGACUCCUGGGUGCCCUCGCCUCGGCCCAGAACACCACCACUGCUACAACCCCAACCACCACCACUCCUAAGCCUACCUCGACUACCGCUAAAACGACGAAGACAUUACUAACGCUUCCAACACUUGGAACACUUCCAACCAUGAAAAUUAUCAUUGGCUAAAGAAACCAGAGAACCAGAGAACCUGCCCCUAACGACCUCCCUGCCAAUCAAUAAAAUAGCAACAGCAUAACCAG